rnacentral:rRNA from 1 species
CACGUAGGAGGCGAGCGUUGUCCGGAAUCAUUGGGCGUAAAGAGCGCGCAGGCGGCUUGACAAGUCGGGUGUGAAAUCCCGGGGCUCAACCCCGGGACUGCAUUCGAUACUGUCAGGCUAGAGGUAGGUAGGGGAGAUCGGAAUUCCUGGUGUAGCGGUGAAAUGCGCAGAUAUCAGGAGGAACACCGGUGGCGAAGGCGGCAUCCUGGACCAACACUGACGCUGAGGAGCGAAAGCCAGGGGAGCAAACGGG